GAUGAAGAACGUAGCGAAAUGCGAUAAGUAAUGUGAAUUGCAGAAUUCAGUGAAUCAUCGAAUCUUUGAACGCACAUUGCGCCCAUUAGUAUUCUAGUGGGCAUGCCUGUUCGAGCGUCAUUAAGUCCACUUAAGCCCUGCUUAGUGUUGGGAGACUGCUCCAGCGGUGCUACCCUGUAGCUACCCUGCAGCUCCUCAAAGACAGCGGCGGAGUUGUGGUAUCCUCUGAGCUUAGUAACUUGUUCUAGCUCUCGAGUACACCACUUCCCCUGCCGUAAAACCCUUAAUUUUUAAUGGUUGACCUCGGAUCAGGUAGGAAUACCCGCUGAACUUAAGCAUAUCAAUAAGCGGAGGA
rnacentral:misc_RNA from 1 species